GGCGUGAUAGCCAAGCGGUAAGGCCCCGGUCUGCAACACCGUUAUCCACCGGUUCGAAUCCGGUUCACGCCU
rnacentral:tRNA from 1 species